rnacentral:rRNA from 1 species
UACGUAGGGUGCGAGCGUUAAUCGGAAUUACUGGGCGUAAAGCGUGCGCAGGCGGUUUUGUAAGACAGGCGUGAAAUCCCCGGGCUUAACCUGGGAAUGGCGCUUGUGACUGCAAAGCUGGAGUGCGGCAGAGGGGGAUGGAAUUCCGCGUGUAGCAGUGAAAUGCGUAGAUAUGCGGGGGAACACCGAUGGCGAAGGCAAUCCCCUGGGCCUGUACUGACGCUCAUGCACGAAAGCGUGGGGAGCAAACAGG